rnacentral:rRNA from 1 species
CGGGGCAGGCAAGACAGGUGGUGCAUGGUUGUCGUCAGCUCGUGUCGUGAGAUGUUGGGUUAAGUCCCGCAACGAGCGCAACCCCUGCCCACAGUAGCCAGCGCGCAAAGGCGGGCACUCUGUGGGGACUGCCAGGGACAACCUGGAGGAAGGUGGGGAUGACGUCAAAUCAUCAUGCCCCUUAUGGCCUGGGCUACACACGUGCUACAAUGGCGUAACAGAGGGAGGCGAAGCCGCGAGGCGGAGCAAACCCCAAAAAUAACGUCCCAGUUCGGACUGCAGCCUGCAACCCGGCUGCACGAAGCUGGAAUCGCUAGUAAUCGCGGAUCAGAAUGCCGCGGUGAAUACGUUCCCGGGUCUUGUACACACCGCCCGUCACACCAUGGGAGCCGGGAAUGCCCGAAGUCAGUGGCCCAACCGCAAGGGGGGAGCUGCCGAAGGCA